rnacentral:lncRNA from 1 species
GGUCUUGCUCUUUUGCAGCGGUGUCAUCUUGGAUCACUGCAACCUCCACCUCUUGGGUUCAAGUGAUUCUCCUGCCUCAGCCUCCAGAGUAGCUUGGACUCAAGGCACAUACCACCACAUCCAGCUAAUUUUUGUAUUUUUAGUAGAUAUGGGGUUUCAUCAUUUUGGCAGGGAUUGUCUUGAUCUCUUGACCUCAUGAUCCACCUGCCUUAGCCUCUGAAAAUGCUGUGAUUACAGGUGUGAGCCACCACACUUGCCCUGAGCUCAUUUUUUAGCUUUAAAAUAAGAAUAAGAAUUACCCUAAUCUAAAAAGACAGCUUAUUGUAUUGUCUUUUAUUUUCUAUGAAAUUGUCUUUAACACAGUAAUUAUUUUCUUUGCCAUGCCACAUUUGUUUUUGUUUUGUCUUUGUUUUUCUUUUAGAUGGAGUCUGGUUUUUUUGUUUUGUUUUGUUUUUGUUUUCUUGAGAUGGAGUCUCACUGUUGUAGCCCAGGCUGGAGUGCAGUGGCAUGAUCUUGGCUCAUCCUGUAUCAUACCCACAGAGAGACCCUUUUUUCUCCAUGGCCUGGGAAGGAGCCAGGUUCCAUGAGUUAAAUGCAGAUCUGAACCAUACCGAGCUGGGAUUAGAGUACACACCCUCCUAUUCUGAAAAGUAGCUAAGGAUUCCAACUUGGUGUGGUGGAGAGUGUGGCAGAGCCCGAGCAGACAAGGACUGAUCACCUGGAAAAGCAUGCUGUUCAAAGGCCUUGGCCAGAAUUCUAAAGUCAGUCCCACUGACUCAAGGUGGGAGCAGGGCAGGUACCUUCCCAGGCUCUGUAGGAGAAUGAGUGUCCUGGCCCUGGAGGCUUCCUGCACUCUUCAGCUUGUGCUGCCAUUCUUGAAUGACUCACGGUUCCUGCUUCCAUCACUACACUUUCCAUCGCUCUCCAUCACCUGCUCUGCUCUGAUACGGAUCUGGGUGAGUACAUCAACCCCACUGUGACAAGCCAGAAUAAUCUUCCUGGCCAAAAGUCCUUAACUUCAUUAUAUCUGCAAAGCCUCUUUUACCAUAUGAGGUCAUGUUCACCGGUUUCAGGGAUUAAGUUAUGAGCAUCUUGGGAGGUCACUAUCAGCCUAUUACAGAUAUGCUCCUGUAAUUCUCCUGCCUCAGCCUCCCGAGUAGCUGGGACUACAGGCGCACACCACCAUGCCCAGCUAAUUUUUGUAUUUUGAGUAGAGACGGGGUUUCACCUCAUUGACUGGCCACUGCACCUGGCCAAAUUAUAUACAUCUAUAUAACCCAUAUCCAAAAAGAAGAUAUGGGAGCAACAGGCCUUUAAAAAAGCCCUCUGGCUGGGCACAGUGGCUCACACCUGUAAUCCCAGCAAUUUGGGAGGCUGAAGCAGGUGUAUCAUGAGGUGAAGAGAUCCAGACCAUCCUGGCCAACAUGGUGAAACCCCAUAUCUACUAAAACUACAAAAAUUAGCUGGGUGUUGUGGUGCGCACCUGUAGUCCCAGCUACCCAGGAGACUGAGGCAGGAGAAUAGCUUGAGCCAGGGAGGCAGAGG